rnacentral:misc_RNA from 1 species
UAUGGAAUCUUGCUAAUGAUUGAUUUUGAAACUGUUUAAACAAAGGAUUUGUUAUGGCUGCUGUGAAAAUUUCUAGGAUCACAAGGCAUAUAUAAUAUUGCAAAAUGGUACAAACAUGAACUAGAGUAAUAAAAAAAUACAAGAUCAUAAUACAAUGAAACAAUUUUAAAAAAAUAAUAAAAUAAAUAAAUAAUGUAUUCGGUAAGUAUAAGCAGCUUGGACCUUGUAUAAGCAGCUUGGACCCAAGUAGGAUCCUUUCAGCCACAUAUUCUCAAUAAUGGGGAAAUGAAGUUCUUGAAUGACUCAGUAAUGCUCCUGAUAUAUUGCUCCAAAUUCCGCCCUCCAUGCCUGAUCAUCAUCAGUAACUGUGUUGUGGGUUAUUUCAGAAUCUUCCCGGUAUAAUGGCUGCAAUGCAGAUUCUGGUAAUUUGCUUUCUGCUAAAUACUGUUUCAUGGUGAUCAUCUCCAUCUUGUGUUUUCUUUUUAAUUUCUCCAUUUGCUUCUUUAAUUUCUCAUUGUCUUUUUGAACCUCGGUAAAUUUUUCCUCUGCAACUGAGGCAGCAUGCUCAGCUUCUCUGAGUCUAACAAGGAGUUCUCCUGCAGCAUGAACAGCUUCUGCAGUGUCUCUAAGCUGGAUUUUGAGACUCUUGUUCUCCUUCUUCAAGAAUUCUCUCUCCUUUUCCCUCUCCACCCUCAAGGCAGAAAGCUCCGCUGCAAGUGAUUUGGCAAAGCGGGCGCCACCUUUGUUUCCUGCCUUUGCUGCUGCCCUUUUGAAUUCUGCUAUUCCCUCCAUGAUUGCACGGUGCUUUCCAACUAAAUCAUUAUGUUUCUCUUGUAGUUCAGCAUAGUGUUCAACCAUUCUAGCAUGGCCAAGGACAGCCCUACUAAGUGCAUCAUCCAACUCCUCAUUACUCCUUUUUUCUGAUCUCAAUUCCAUCUCUACCUUCUCUGUGCGCCGACGACUGGAUUCAAGAUCAAUCCUCAGGUCAUCAGUUAUAGAAAUCCAUUCACUCUCCAUUUCUGUCCAUCUCUGUCUUUCCUUCUCAAGUUCUUGCCCAUUACCACAUUGAGCAUCUAUACUUUUGCGUAACUGAAUGGAUUGUGCUAACAAAGAAGAUCUCAGUUUAUCAAUGGAUCUGUUUGCAGAAGCAUCGAUAAAUGAUUUCAACUGGGUCCUUAAACUUUGAAUUUCCAGAAGAAGUGCUUCCUUCUCCUUCACAUCAAAACAUGUAUUCUCUUCCUGAACUUCCUUCAUUUCACAUUUUUCCUUUAUGAUUUCUGGGGGCUCUUCAUUUUUGGAUUCCUCAAAUAGUAUUAUUUGAUUCUUUGAGCCCUCAAGACAAAGACCAUCGCCUUCCAGAUCAUGAUCCAUGAUGGAAUGUUCUUUCUUGAGUUUGUAUUGCUCUACCAGGCGAUUUAGCUCCUCAAUUUUAGCUGCUUGAUCCUUGCAGAUAUUUUCAAGUUCCUUCUCUCUCUUAUGGGCUUCUGCCAAACCAUUGCCUUCACCAUUAGCCGCCUCAUCUGACAGUUUGUUAGGAUUUCUUGCUUCAUUGACUGCUAAAAUCCAUGCCUUCAGGCUAUCUUGAACCUCAUUAGAAUUAUCAUUGAUCUUUAGCUGACAAGAUGCACAUAGUAAAGAAGUGGAUGGUCCAGAUAAUGGUGCUUCUUCCGCUAGCUUUUGAACAGAAGAAUAGGUUGCAUCAACUUCUGGACAGGGUUUCAGUGCCAAGUGCUCAAAGGAGAAGGCAACUGAAGAUCUGUUUAAUGCUGAUUUCCGCUGGUGCUGGUCAAUAAUCUGCAAGCCUCUUUGAAGGCUAGCAGCCAAGGACUCAGUGGGGCCUGGAAACAUCUUGCUUGAACGCAAAGAUGAACGAUUGUGCUCACUCUGCCCAUGUGACUGGAACAACACAUCUGACUUCGCACUCUGCGAUACAUUGUUCUGACUAGCUGAAAAUGCUGAUGAAGAAAUGGCCAUACUUUUCCUAGUAUUUCCAAUUCUAGGAGACUCGGACAACGUUGGCUCCUGGAGAACUGGAGACUGACGACAUAAACUGAUAGAUAUGCUACUUCUAACUGAUGGAUCAGUCGCCUUUAAGGUAUUAUGGGUACUUAAAAGGUCAUCUUCUGACGCAAUGAUGUCCUCUUCAUGCUUCUCCAAAUUAAGUUCUUCAGUUUGAAUUUCGUCUGGACCAUUUACUUCUUCUUCACUCAUCAAAUCUGUCUCAAAACUCUCGUCUAAAGAAGAAAAGUGACUAGAGUUUCUAUUGUCAGAUAGAUCUUUCGAGUCCUCCCCAUAAGAACUUUUCAAUUUAUUAAGCUGAUGAUGUAGUUCUUUCACAUCAUCCUCAUCAACAUUCACUUCAUUGUCAGAAUCAUUAUCAAUAUUGGGUAACAUCAAAGAGCGAUUAAGGCUUACUCUCAAGUGGUUCAAGCUUUCACGUGCAUUCCGCCCUUUAAAGUAUCCAUUUUUAUUCCCAACUGAAUUAUGUGCAUCUGAUUUUGCUCUUAUAAGUUCUUCCUUUAAUUGGCGAAUCUGAUCACUCAAGUCAUUAACAUCAUCCUCAGAUAUUUCAUUAAUUACUGGCUCAUUUUGUAUGGCUUUAACUCGCUGCCCAAAUCUGAGUGUCCUCAAUGUCUCACAACUAUGUCUAUUAUCCGGAGAGAUGUUGCAUAUAACUGUGAGUUUUGCAUUGCCACCAAGAGAUUCUUGUAGCAAAUGUGUUAAACAAGAUCCUUUAUACGCUGCAACUUCAAAUUUCCCAGGUUGUGCUCCUUUUGCAAGAGCAUUCACCAAUUUUCCAAGGUGUGAUAGGGACUUCUUGACAUUUUUUCCUUCCCUUACUAAUUGUCUACCCGCAUCAUCAUCAGGUUUACUUCUAUCCAGUCCAGCAAGAUCAACAAGACUGAUUCUGCUAAUUUUUGAACUACUGAAACAUUUUGAUGAGGUUCCCUUGCACCAGGACUCAAUGAUGAACGUAAACACAAUGUGGGAUCUGGAGCUCUUAGAAUUUAUGCUUGUUGCUCCGACUUUUCUACUUGAAAGCCCCUUGAUCAAUAUUUGAGUUACAUCCUCAUAGCUACUCACAUACUCCUCGGUCAAAUUCUCAACAUGCAGUCCAUUCUUAGGAUCAUCCCUUAUCUCAAGAUUUCUUUGCACGGGAUCGAGCAAGUCCCCAAUUUGAUCAUUGUAUAUCUCAAGAAAAGAACAUCUGCACUGAUAAUUUAUCUGCUUCCCUUCCGAGUUCUCUUGCUCUCUUUGAAUUUCUGAGAAUAGCAUCUGGAAGAUGCGAGGAACGAUACCCUGGUGACUGUUGGGUGAGAGAUCCUCAACCAUUGCACUUGGUGGACCCCACAUUGUGUAGGUCUUUCCACUUCCAGUCUGUCCAUAUGACAAGAUUGAAGUAUUAUAACCUGCUAACGCACUUUUAACCAAAGGGAUACCAACUAACUGAAAGACGUCUUCCUGGUUUGAAUUGGGGUCAAGAACCGAAUCAAAUGUAAAUUUUCGAUUAGCAACGGAUAAUGAAUUGGAGGAAACCUUCCCCACUGCCACUCCAUCCUCUCUUUCGUGAUCAUUUACAGGUCUAACUCUCACCACAACCUUCACAGGCGGAUCCAAACUUGCUGGUGUUUCACUCUGACUGUUCAAUAUGGAAACAUCUCUCUUGAGCGGUGGGUCUUGAAGGGAAGAAGCAUCAGAUCUGGCAGCGUCAUUGUGCGAGGUAAAGGACUUGGAGAGCGAUAUUUUGGGGAUGGAAGGUGAGAGCGCAGGAUCUUUGAAUUGAACGUUUGGAUCCGGCGGAGGCGUGUUUUCGGAGCUGAAAAGUUUGGGAAAUUUAGGGUUGGAGGUAGACCUGCGCUUGGAGGAGAUGGAUCUGGGAAGCAAAUUACGAAUGGAAGAUGUUGAUAUCCUUCCCACGAAACGAUUCUCGCUACUGUCUGUAGUUGAUUUCAUGGUUUCUUUUGCUUGUUGGUUCCUUUUCUUUGUCUUCUGUUCAAGAGUAAAAGGCGAGAGACUACGAGUGCGUACGAUAGAGAGAAAGAGAGACAGAAAGAGAGUUUCAAAUGGUGGGCAGAGAGGGAAGAGGCGAGGAACGUUUUGUUGAGAGGGUGAACUGAUGACCGUUGGGAAAAGAGAUCCUUGUUUAAAAUUACAACUUUG